rnacentral:misc_RNA from 1 species
AAGUCGUAACAAGGUUUCCGUAGGUGAACCUGCGGAAGGAUCAUUAUCGAGUUUUGACUGGGUUGUAGCUGGCCUUCCGAGGCAUGUGCACGCCCUGCUCAUCCGCUCUACACCUGUGCACUUACUGUGGGUUACAGGAUCGCGAAACGGGCUCUUUACGGGGCUCGCAGAGCGCGCUUGUGCCCGCGUUUAUCACAAACCCCAUGAAGUAUUAGAAUGUGUAUUGCGAUGUAACGCAUCUAUAUACAACUUUCAGCAACGGAUCUCUUGGUUCUG